GAUGAACGCUGGCGGCGUGCUUAACACAUGCAAGUCGAACGAAGCACUUUAUUUGAUUUCCUUCGGGACUGAUUAUUUUGUGACUGAGUGGCGGACGGGUGAGUAACGCGUGGGUAACCUGCCUUGUACAGGGGGAUAACAGUUGGAAACGGCUGCUAAUAUCGCAUAAGCGCACGGCAUCGCAUGAUGCAGUGUGAAAAACUCCGGUGGUAUAAGAUGGACCCGCGUUGGAUUAGCUAGUUGGUGAGGUAACGGCCCACCAAGGCGACGAUCCAUAGCCGACCUGAGAGGGUGACCGGCCACAUUGGGACUGAGACACGGCCCAAACUCCUACGGGAGGCAGCAGUGGGGAAUAUUGCACAAUGGGCGAAAGCCUGAUGCAGCGACGCCGCGUGAGCGAAGAAGUAUUUCGGUAUGUAAAGCUCUAUCAGCAGGGAAGAUAAUGACGGUACCUGACUAAGAAGCACCGGCUAAAUACGUG
rnacentral:rRNA from 1 species